rnacentral:lncRNA from 1 species
AAUGUCUCAGAAUAAGAGAGUGCCCCAACGAGACAAAGCUGCCUUUCCAGUUCUGAUCAACAAAUUAAUUACGGAAAAUCUGUUGCUUGUCGAUACUCUAAAAGCAGUGUAUUUUUGGAAUUAAGAGGAGUUGUAUAAACUAAAAUGACAAAAGAAGUGUAGGAAAGUGAGGAAGUAGUCAACUGUUGAGGUAUUUCAACAACACCACUCAAUCAAUCCAAUAUCUCUUUUUCCAUUUUUACCUUGUCGUAAUUGCGGCACUUCUUCUUCAUCAGCUUAUAAGGUUAGAUUUCUGAUUAUUUUUUUGAAUCUGAAUCUGAAUCUGAAUUUGUGCUAUUUGGGGAUGGAUAUAGGGUUUUGCUGCCAUUGUUUCUGUUUAUGCUAAUUUUUUUUAUUUCUUUCCAUCUUUUACAUUUCAAUAUUGGGUAAGUUAAAAUUGUUUCUUUUCCAAGGAUUUGUAUAUUGAUAUUAGUAGAAAAGGGUAAUUACUGUUUCAUGCUCCUUAAAUUACCUGCAAAAUUGUUCUAUAUGCUAACUUGAUAUGUAGCUCAAAAAUACCUAUUGACUAGUUAAUGAAAAGUCUAGAAAACCACAUGACUACUUCUUUACUAGUCUCCUCUUAUUGACUCUAUUUGGCUGAUUAUUGAUCCGUCCAACCCAUUUCAACCCAAAUCGAAAGAAAAAAUCCAAGAUAGUCCUUUAUUUUUGGCUUUAGAUUCGAAAUCAUCAAUUGAUGCACUAAUAGUCCUCCAAAGUUUUAAGUAUUAGUGCACUUUUAUCUGAUGCUAAUUUGAGAUAUUGAUACACGAAGACUAAGUAUGUAUUAUAUUUUUCCUUUUUUCUUGUUUUUAUUUUAUUCUUUGGUUAUGCUCCAGAUAUAUAGGCAAAGCACAAGAAACUUUUAUUCCGGAAAAACCCAAAGACUUAUAGUCAGCUUAUUAAUUGCUUAUGGAAAAUAGAAGAGAAAGUUAAAGAAUUAGCAAAUUUUGAAUGGUGCACACCAAACAUUGAAGAUGCAGAGCCAAAAAAUAAAACAAGUACAAAUGAAGACUCAUCUGCAAUUGCUAAGAUAAAUCUAACAAUUAAUAUGUUUUGUACCAGAACGUAGACAGUGGAGGUUAUAAAUGGGUGUGUAAAGGAUCAAAACGUUAAUGAGUAAAUGGAUGUUAAUGAAGAGACUAAAAAUGCACUGACACUUGAAACUUAAAGAACUAUUAGUGCACUAUAUAAAAGAAAGGGAAGGGAUGACUUUGAGUCUGAAGCCAAACAUAAGGAACUAUUUUGAAUCUUUUCCAAACAAUGUUAAGCUCAAACACAAUGUUAUAAAAAGGUAAGAUAAGAACUAAUGUCACAAUAUUACAGGUAAAUCGUUUUUUUUUCCUGUUUUUCAAUUUUUAUCACUAUAAUAUUCUGUAUGUCAAACUCUAAGAUCCUCAUCCAUUGGUAUGGUAUAGAAGUAGUGUUCAAUUUGCUCGACUGCAUUAUCCUCACCCUGAGUCUCGUUUCCUCUCUUUAUUGGAACUAGGCUCUCCUUGUAAUUGAAAACCCAACAGCCAGAAAAGAUAAGGUCCAGCUGAAAUCCAAGAUCUGUAACUUGUCUUGUUUCAGGGUUAUAUAGCACUAGCUGUGAAGUUUCUGUGAUCUCGAAAACCAUCUUAUCGUUAUCCCAGAUGUUGUAAGGCCAAUGAGCAUCUAUAUGAGGUUGAAGAGUAAGAACUUUGGACCAAUUUCCCCCUUGUUUCAUUACCCACACAUCGUAUAUGGAUGUCAUUGGUUUGCCAGGGUCACCGGUUAAUAUAGCAAGUGAGCCGCCAUGCAAUGUAAGCUUCCCCCAAUGUUCACUUGGAAUAUCUGGGACUUGCAUCUCCCCAAACUGUUCGCUGCCCAUGUCAAAAGAGUGAAUCGUGUAGAUGUCAUCAAGGCCCAUAGAAAGCCCAUAAUAAACCCCGUUGAGAUAAGUGGCGUCAAGGGGUGCAGAUAAGGUAGAACUGGGAGGGAAUUCAGGAGUAAGGUGUUUCCAUGAAUUGUUGCAUGAGGAAUAGACAUAGGCAUAGACACGAUUAUUAGCACCUUGUCCCGGUUCAUCCCAGAACACUCGAAUCCAUACAACCUUAAAAUCUUGAGUCAACAGGUCAAAUCCCAAUCCGAACUGAUGAUCAUGGUUCGGGAAAAAGGCCUCAAUCUCAAUAGGCGCAGGAGGCAGAGACCUGAACUCUCUAGUGGCAGGAUUCCACAAACCCAAGCAGAUAUCGUCUCCAAACUUCUUCUGCACUAAGAAUAAGCGAUCAACUGGACCAGCAAGACACGUGAAAUCAGUGAUCCUCGGAAGCUGAAGGAGAGUUUUUUGUUCAGGGGUCACACCUGGAACAAUUUCUUCAGGGAGCAAGGAGAAUACAACAGACCUUACGAUGGGGAGUACUUCACAUGCUACUUUCAAGUUGCAAACAAGGAGACGGGCACAAUUGUUCUUGUGAUGAAAAUGUUUUUCUAUGAAACUCGAACUUUUGAUGAGAGCAUACUAGUGCUUGCACACACAUUUGAAACACAAGAGUGAUUCCACUGGCAAUCUCAAUAGAAUAUCAACUACUAGAUCUUUUGGUAAAGGACGGCGACCAUCCAUACUAGUGGAAAUAUAAGUAAAAUGAGACAACUUACAAACAUAUUGAAAGAGAACAGAUCUAGAAACAUGCUUUAAUAGAACACGCAGUGCAACGAAGAAGAUCAAGCAGCAUCAUUACCAUGUGAAACAAAAAAGGGGAAGUUGCACAUUUGAUCACUCAGCCACAAAUAUUUACAUCAGCAAGCCAAUACACAUAUAUUAUGGGUAUACAUAUUUUUAAAAAUAUUUUGACAAUUUCUUGUAGAUCAAUUUGGGAGAAAAGAUCCAAAAUAGUUCCUCAUGUUUGGCUUCAGACUCAAAGGAUGGAGUAAUAAGUACUUAUUCAUUGUUAAUUAGAGUUCUCGGGUUUGAGUCUUUUUGGCUAUGAAGUCAUCUGUGUUAGGGAGCGCUUUACCCACAAUGUGAGAUUAUUCAGCACAAAUUCAAAUUUAGUGGGGGAUCUAAUAUGGAUACCAAACACCGAGUGGAAAACCAAAAAUAAAAAUAAAAAUGACCUUAGGGGUCAUUUGAUAGGUGGAUAAAGCUACAUUUAAUACAUGAAUAACAAAGUUAUUUAUGUAUUUAAUUUAUAUAAUAUUUUGUUUGUAAAAUGUUGUAUAAAAGUUAUUCGUGUAUUAACAAAGAUGUUUAUCUCUACGAUAUGUUCCCGCAGGAGAAAGAGUUUGUUAUUUGAAGAGGGGGGGGGGGUAUUUGGAGUCUUUUAGCCACAGUUCGAAGCCCUGGCGUAUCUCUUUUAGCCACGGUUCAAGGCCCCAACAUAUUUUUUUGGCACGGUUCGAGGCCCCAACAUAUCUCUAUUCGCCUUGGUUUGAAUCCUAACAUGUGGUUCAUUUGGGUUCUUCGGGUGCCUUCGCCAUAAUUCAAGUCUGGAGUCGGCCAUUUCAGUUCUUGAAAGCUUUUAAUCUAGCUAAUGUUAUUCAUAGUACUUCCGUGUACUUAUCGGACUUAUGUGAGUCCAAACUUGUUUGAGUUAUAUAUUUACUUUCUAAUUGUGCACGAGUAUACAUACUUUCUGGGCUUAUAGAGGUCCAAUUAGGUUAUAGAUUAUUGCUUUACUUUACUACUUUGUUCUUUUUAGACUCGUGAGCUAUAUAGUUAGACUUUCCGUUAUUGCUUUGUUCAUUUGACCUCUAAUUAUUGUUACUUUCAUAUUCUUCAUAUUGUUUUUACUUUCCAAGCUCAGUCGACCUAUGAUGCCUACUGGGCACCUGUUGUUCUGAUAUUCAUGCUACACUCCACAUCUGCUUUCUUGAUGUAGAUUUGAGCGCCUGCCGACAACAGUGAUUCGAGCCUAAGUAAUGCGGAGAUCUUCUGAGAUGAAGGGUGACCUAAUGGCGUCCUAGUUCGACUUAUCUCCAUAUGUAUAUAAUUUUUUCCUAUCUUUUGUAUUCGAGACAAGUUUAUUA